rnacentral:rRNA from 1 species
AUUGAACGCUGGCGGAAUGCUUUACACAUGCAAGUCGAACGGCAGCACGGGGGCAGCCCUGGUGGCGAGUGGCGAACGGGUGAGUAAUACAUCGGAACGUGCCCGGUCGUGGGGGAUAACGUAGCGAAAGUUACGCUAAUACCGCAUACGAUCUGAGGAUGAAAGCGGGGGACCUUCGGGCCUCGCGCGAUCGGAGCGGCCGAUGUCAGAUUAGGUAGUUGGUGGGGUAAAGGCCUACCAAGCCGACGAUCUGUAGCUGGUCUGAGAGGACGACCAGCCACACUGGAACUGAGACACGGCCCAGACUCCUACGGGAGGCAGCAGUGGGGAAUUUUGGACAAUGGGCGCAAGCCUGAUCCAGCCAUUCCGCGUGCAGGACGAAGGCCUUCGGGUUGUAAACUGCUUUUGUACGGAAAGAAAAGGCUCUGGCUAAUACCUGGGGCUCAUGACGGUACCGUAAGAAUAAGCACCGGCUAACUACGUG